AAUUGCAACCUGUACGGAACAGGAGGUUAAAGGUGCUGAUUCUCCAAGGAGGGAGAUUGCUAGUAAAGCGGCUGGAAUGGGGAACCCGAGCACAAGGAGAUGAGAAAUGAGGACAAAUUGCAACCUGGACGGAACAGGAGGUUAAAGGUGCUGAUUCUCCAAGGAGGGAGAUUGCUAGUAAAGCGGCUGGAAUGGGGAACCCGAGCACAAGGAGAUGAGAAAUGAGGACAAAUUGCAACCUGGACGGAACAGGAGGUUAAAGGUGCUGAUUCUCCAAGGAGGGAGAUUGCUAGUAAAGCGGCUGGAAUGGGGAACCCGAGCACAAGGAGAUGAGAA